GACGAACGCUGGCGGCGUGCCUAAUACAUGCAAGUUGAGCGCUGAAGGUUGGUACUUGUACCAACUGGAUGAGCAGCGAACGGGUGAGUAACGCGUGGGGAAUCUGCCUUUUAGCGGGGGACAACAUUUGGAAACGAAUGCUAAUACCGCAUAAAAACUUUAAACACAAGUUUUAAGUUUGAAAGAUGCAAUUGCAUCACUCAAAGAUGAUCCCGCGUUGUAUUAGCUAGUUGGUGAGGUAAAGGCUCACCAAGGCGAUGAUACAUAGCCGACCUGAGAGGGUGAUCGGCCAAAUUGGGACUGAGACACGGCCCAAACUCCUACGGGAGGCAGCAGUAGGGAAUCUUCGGCAAUGGACGAAAGUCUGACCGAGCAACGCCGCGUGAGUGAAGAAGGUUUUCGGAUCGUAAAACUCUGUUGGUAGAGAAGAACGUUGGUGAGAGUGGAAAGCUCAUCAAGUGACGGUAACUACCCAGAAAGGGACGGCUAACUACGUG
rnacentral:rRNA from 1 species